rnacentral:tRNA from 1 species
UAGGAAAUAGGUAAAUGUAUACCAUGAAAAUUUGGAUUUCAAAUUAAGAAUUCAUUAUUCUUUUUCCUAA